UACGUAGGGUGCAAGCGUUGUCCGGAUUUAUUGGGCGUAAAGAGCUCGUAGGCGGUCUGUCGCGUCGGAUGUGAAAACCCAGGGCUCAACCCUGGGCCUGCAUUCGAUACGGGCAGACUAGAGUAUGGCAGGGGAGACUGGAAUUCCUGGUGUAGCGGUGAAAUGCGCAGAUAUCAGGAGGAACACCGGUGGCGAAGGCGGGUCUCUGGGCCAAAACUGACGCUGAGGAGCGAAAGCGUGGGGAGCAAACAGG
rnacentral:rRNA from 1 species